GGCGUGGAUAAGACAUGCAAGUCGAGCGGGACAUUUCGGGUAGCAAUAUUCGGAAUGUUCAGCGGCGCAAGGGUGCGUAACACGUGGGCAAUUUACCAUAAAGCUUGGGAUAACUCGCUGAAAGGCGAGCUAAUACCGGAUGUGAAGUCAGGGAGGCAUCUCCUGGACUUUAAAGUUGGGGACCGCAAGGCCUGACACUUUAUGAUAAGCCCGCGGCCUAUCAGCUAGUUGGUGAGGUAACGGCUCACCAAGGCUAAGACGGGUAGCUGGUCUGAGAGGACGACCAGCCACACUGGAACUGAGACACGGUCCAGACACCUACGGGUGGCAGCAGUCGAGAAUUUUUCACAAUGGGCGAAAGCCUGAUGGAGCGACGCCGCGUGGGGGAUGAAUGGCUUCGGCCUGUAAAGCCCUGUCAUUUGCGAACAAACCUUUCCACCCAACACGG
rnacentral:rRNA from 1 species